UAAUCUGCCCAUUGAUAUGAUUGAAAGGCCGCAGUAUUUUGACUGUGCAAAGGUAGCAUAAUAAAUAGUUUCUUAAUUAGAAGCUGGAAUGAAUGAUUGAAUGAAAUAUUAACUGUCUCAAUAUAAUUGUUUUAGAAAUUAAUUUUUAAGUUAAAAAGCUUAAAUGAUUUUGGAGGACGAGAAGACCCUUUAAAGCUUUAUAUUAAAGUAUAAAUAUUUAAUAAUAAUAAUUAAUAAUAUUUAUAUGAAAAUAUUUUAUUGGGGUGAUAGGAAAAUUGAAUUAACUUUUUUUUAUAUUUGUAACAUAAAUUAAUGAAUUAUUGAUCCAUAAAUUAUGAUUAAAAGAUUAAGUUACUUAAGGGAUAACAGCGUAAUAUUUUUUGAGAGAUCUUAUUAACAAAAAAGUUUGCGACCUCGAUGUUGGAUUAAGAAAUUUUUAGGUGUAGAAGCUUAAA
rnacentral:rRNA from 1 species